rnacentral:rRNA from 2 species
AGGUGUGAUCAUACUAGCAUUAAUGCACCGGAUCCCAUGAGAACUCCACCGUUAAGCGUGCUUGGGCGAUAGUAGUCCUAGGAUGAGUGACCACCUGUGAAGUCCUCGUGUUGCACCUC